UUCACACAUACAAUAGCCCUACAAUAAUAAAAAAAUUUAAUCAUAACUUUAGUAAAACAAUCUUUGAAUGCAUAAUAUAUAACCUAACCUUUGAAUAUAGUGCAUAAUAAUAAUAAUAAUAAUAGUAAUAAUAAUAAUAAUAAUAAUAAUAAUAAUAAUAAUAAUAGUGUUAAUGAAAAAUUAUGCUGGGCUUAUGAACAUACAUGUACAGGUGCAGAAAAUAUUAGCAGAAUUCUGUACCGUCCUGAAACCCUCACUUAAGGGUAAGGUCAGGAUAAGUUAAGGUAAGGUUAGGAUAUUAAGGUAAGGUCAGGAUAGGUCAGAUUCAGGUUACCUUGGAGUGAAUUACGUUAAGGGGAAUAUUUUAAGGCAAGUUUAGGGUAAUUCAACUGUAGUUUUAGGUAAGAUGAGAGUGAAUUACAUUAGUUUAGGGUCAUUCAAGACAGAGUAAGGUUACUUUAGGGUGAAUUAGAUUAAAUUCAGACUGCUUAUGAUAGACUUACGGCACUUAGGGAAGCUUUGUUUUGAUCGUUACCAAUGGCGCCGAUCGAUGCUAUAGUUUUCCACGUGAAACUGGCCUAUGGGGUGGUGGCGGCUGCAGAGGAAGCGAGAGGUGUUGAGAGUGUGUGGCAAGGCUAGGCUAACCCCACUACCACCCCAUCGGCCAGUUUUAAGUAGAAAUUCUACGGCGGCGAUCAUUGGUAGCGAUCAAAACAAACAAAACGACUGUGAAAGCGGCCCUAAGUCCCCACCACCACCACCAAGAAAAUUAACAUGCUGUAUAUUAAGGAAACAGUUGUAUGCGGCAGAACAAGGAAUUUUUAACUCAGGAUAAUUGACAGCACAGUGAUACCUCGGUUCACAGCAGCUACAUUAUACAAGUUGUACGAGUGUUUGGAUUUACAAGCAUCAAAAUUCCCUGAAAAUGCCUUAGUGUACGAGUGCCCAGCAAACAAUGACCGGCGGCCCGCCGUCGGCUUAAGAGAGGCCGGGGGUGGCUGAAUGCAGGCAGCCAUGCCCCCGUUGCGCCUGCGAUUGCCCGCUCUGGACUUUAACUUUCAGCAAGGUGUUUGUUAAGUGAAACGUCGAUCGAAUUUUCGGUUUGACGUAUCUCAACUUACAUGAAUUACGGUAGUCAUUGCCUUAAAUGAAUUACGUUGAAAAACAUUUAAAACAAACUGAAUUUCAUAAGCAUGGAAGAAUAAUAUAUAUAAAAAAAUAUAUGUAAACGAUAUAUUUUCUAACAAAGGUAUUAUGUAAUUCUAUCUGUAAAUGAUAUCAAGUUUUCCUGAUAUGUAUUAAUUUCAUGUCUAAUGCAGAGAGGUUAUGAAUAUAUCACGCAGUUAGAAAGUCGAACAUCAAAUUUGCAAUGUCAGAUAUUUAAGGAGGGCGCCAUCCACUGAUGCCUUUAGCUAUUUUCCAUGAGCCAAUACUGAAAAUAUUCGAUAUUUGUAACGGCUAUCAAGGAGAAAAAGAACUUUUUGUGAUUGCAACAAUGUUUGUGUGCCAUCACUUUACACUUAGAUGUCUCAAAACUCCUUAAACAUUGAUAAUGUAAAGGAUCUGCUGUUGAAAAUGCUAAAAACUGGCAACAGUACCGCACCGUGCCAUCAGACUUGCCAGAUUAUCGUACUCAAAGCAUCGUAUAUACUGGCUUCUGACCCAUAACAAUUAUCAAGAUGGAAGCCCCAAUAAUUAACCAUUUUAUCAAUAAUCUUAUAUGAAGCCAGUUUUGGGGGUGAAGAAGACGGUAUUUAGGUCGUAAAUCGGCAAACAUAAGAGGAUGAGUACGACAAUCUAGUAGCGGAGCAGCGGGCCGGGCCAUCUUCAUUCUUCAAAACAAAGGUCUGGCGGGGCAGGACCGCCGCUCUACAAGAAAACUCUCUCACCUCAACAAAAGGCAAGUAAUCCUGAUUCUGUUGUAAGUCAAGCUUAGCAUUUGUUCAUUCUAGUGACAGAGAAGUUCAAAGUAGAUGCCAAGACAUGGCAGAAGAAUCUUACUGGACAAAAAGGAGGCGACUGAAAUUGCGUAUGUCAGCACAUUUAGAUUUCCUUCAAAAUUCCUCAGUAAACCAAGAUGUUGACUUGUAUGACACUAACCAACAGUUAUCUGAGUCAUGUGCUCACAGUUCAGAAAGCGAAGUGUUGAGUAAUGAUCAUUAUGAAGCUGCAGGAACCUCUGAUGUAGGUUUUGAGGAAGCCCAAAAUCCAUGUCUGGACAGAGAUUGUUAUUCCUCUCCGCUUUCUGAUAGCUCAGAAAGCAACGGCGAUAUUAAUGUAUAUGAAACUGAUACUCAUGACAGUGUUGCAGAGCAGUUGUGUCCCAAACUUGCAGAAUGGGCAGUUAAGUAUCAAAUUCCACAAACUGCAUUAAGCAGCCUUCUUUCUGUACUAAAAAACUAUCAUCCAGACAUCCAAAUGGAUGCCAGAACUUUGCUUAAAACACCAAGCCAGUGUAAUGUUAAGGAGAUAUCUGGAGGCUCGUACUAUCAUUUUGGUGUUGAAAAAUCUCUUGUAAGGAUUUUAUCCACUACAGAAAGUGUGGAUACCCUGAAAGAUUGUACAUUUAUUUCAUUGCAAGUAAAUAUUGAUGGACUUCCCUUGUUCAAAAGUUCAAACAUACAAUUCUGGCCAAUUUUAGCAAGAAUUAAUAACCCACUUCUGAGUAGCCCUUUCAUUAUUGGAUUGUUUUGUGGGAAUCGCAAACCAGAAAACAUUGUUGAAUUUUUUAAAGACUUCAAAGGUGUCUCACGCCCGCAGGUGAG